GAUGAACGCUGGCGGCGUGCCUAAUACAUGCAAGUCGAGCGAACAGACGAGGAGCUUGCUCCUCUGACGUUAGCGGCUGACGGGUGAGUAACACGUGGAUAACCUACCUAUAAGACUGGGAUAACUUCGUGAAACCGGAGCUAAUACCGGAUCAUAUAUUGAACCGCAUGGUUCAAUAGUGAAAGACGGUUUUGCUGUCACUUAUAGAUGGAUCCGCGCCGCAUUAGCUAGUUGGUAAGGUAACGGCUUACCAAGGCAACGAUGCGUAGCCGACCUGAGAGGGUGAUCGGCCACACUGGAACUGAGACACGGUCCAGACUCCUACGGGAGGCAGCAGUAGGGAAUCUUCCGCAAUGGGCGAAAGCCUGACGGAGCAACGCCGCGUGAGUGAUGAAGGUCUUCGGAUCGUAAAACUCUGUUAUUAGGGAAGAACAAAUGUGUAAGUAACUAUGCACGUCUUGACGGUACCUAAUCAGAAAACCACGGCUAACUACGUG
rnacentral:rRNA from 1 species